AUAGACCGUACAGAAAUAGCCAGGAUAGGCCAGACACAGAUAGCCACAAUAGGCAGACAUGGGACAGGCCUUGAUAGACCGUACAGAAAAAUAGCCAUGAUAGCCGGACACGGACAGGUCUCGAUAGACCGUACAGAAAUAGCCACGAUAGGCCAGACACAGAUAGCCACAAUAGGCAGACAUGGGACAGGCCUUGAUAGACCGUACAGAAAAAUAGCCAUGAUAGCCGGACACGGACAGGUCUCGAUAGACCGUACAGAAAUAGUCACGAUAGGCAGACACAGACAGGCCUUGAAAGACCAUACAGAUAUAGUAACACCACCACCAGUAAUUGCAUGAAUUUACCUGAUUAGUUACAGGAGAGCUUGCUGAGCUUCAAUAAUGGUUUU